AUGCACGCUGGCGGCGUGCCUCAUACCUGCCAGUCGAGCGAACAGACGAGGAGCUUGCUCCUCUGACGUUAGCGGCGGACGGGUGAGUAACACGUGGAUAACCUACCUAUAAGACUGGGAUAACUUCGGGAAACCGGAGCUAAUACCGGAUAAUAUAUUUAACCGCAUGGUUCAAUAGUGAAAGUCGGUUUUGCUGUCACUUAUAGAUGGAUCCGCGCCGCAUUAGCUAGUUGGUAAGGUAACGGCUUACCAAGGCAACGAUGCGUAGCCGACCUGAGAGGGUGAUCGGCCACACUGGAACUGAGACACGGUCCAGACUCCUACGGGAGGCAGCAGUAGGGAAUCUUCCGCAAUGGGCGAAAGCCUGACGGAGCAACGCCGCGUGAGUGAUGAAGGUCUUCGGAUCGUAAAACUCUGUUAUUAGGGAAGAACAAAUGUGUAAGUAACUAUGCACGUCUUGACGGUACCUAAUCAGAAAGCCACGGCUAACUACGUG
rnacentral:rRNA from 1 species